rnacentral:rRNA from 1 species
CCUACGGGAGUCAGCAGUGAGGAAUAUUGGUCAAUGGGCGCGAGCCUGAACCAGCUAAGUAGCGUGAAGGAUGACUGCCCUACGGGUUGUACACUUCUUUUAUAAAGGAAUAACGUAAGUCCCGUGAUCCUUUUUGUAUGUACUUUAUGAAUCAGGAACGGCUAACUCCGUGCCAGCAGCCGCGGUAAUACGGAGGAUCCGAGCGUUAUCCGGAUUUAUUGGGUUUAAAGGGAGCGUAGAUGGGUGGUUAAGUCAGUUGUGAAAGUUUGCGGCUCAACCGUAAAAUUGCAAUUGAUACUGGCAGUCUUGAGUACAGUUGAGGUAGGCGGAAUUCGUGGUGUAGCGGUGAAAUGCUUAGAUAUCACGAAGAACUCCGAUUGCGAAGGCAGCUUACUAAACUGCCACUGACAUUGAUGCUCGAAAGUGUGGGUAUCAAACAGGAUUAGAUACCCCUGUAGUC